rnacentral:piRNA from 1 species
UGUGAGGCUGAUCUGCAAUAGCGAUUC